rnacentral:rRNA from 1 species
UACGGAAGGGGCAAGCGUUGUUCGGAAUCAUUGGGCGUAAAGGGCGCGUAGGUGGUUCUGUAUGUCUACCGUGAAAGCGUACGGCUCAACCGUAUUUUGUCGGUAGAAACUGCAGGACUUGAGGCUGGGAGGGGCUGGUGGAAUUCCCUGUGUAGCGGUGAAAUGCGUAGAGAGUGGGGGAGAACACUCGUGGCGAAGGCGGCCAGCUAGACCAGUUCUGACACUGAGGCGCGAUAGCGUGGGGAGCAAACAGG